rnacentral:lncRNA from 1 species
UUUUGUUUUGUUUUUUUUUCCCUUCCCCUACAGUUCCAAGGAUGGGAGUGAAAAGCUGGAGGUCAAACAGCUCUAAGGUUGUGUUAAUCCAGACCAGAAGUGAUAGUGGCUUGAGCUAUGCAGCAGAUAUGCAGGUGGAGACUCAACGGAGAACAGAACAGUCUUACUAAAAAUUACAGAGAGAAAGUGGAAAUAAAGAAUUGUGGCCUUGACACGGAUGUGUACAAUGGAGGCCUCUGCGUAUGUAUGUACCCAGUGCUGCCAAGACCCACGGUGAAACUGUAUCUUCUGGCCACAGUUUUAAGGCUUACAGACGCCCGGAACCCUUGCACCCCAGGUUCCUUGGAGCCUUUCUCCAGGUAUAGAACCACACACAGUUGAUCCUAGCCAGGCUGGAGAGUCAUGCUUUGGAGCGCACAAAGCCUGUUUUUGGUCUUGUGGAAGGUGUUUUGAAGACUUCUGGUAGAUGAGCUUGAACAAUUGCUCCUGUCAGUCCUUUCCUUCCAGCAUAUGCCUGCUGUCUCCCACCCCACUGAGAGUUGGACCCUAAUCGUCUGCCCUUUGACUAUGGGGUAGUCUCAUGACCUCUUUUACUAACAGUGCAUCCAGAUGAACAUUUUGUGACUUCCAAGACUUGGUCCUGAGAAGGCUCUCUCUGUCUACCUGGUUUCCUGGGGUCUCCUUCCUGGGCCACAUCUUCUCAGAAUCCAGCCAUCACACUAUGAGGCUGUGACAACCCCUUCUGUGGGGACAGUUGGCAUCAACUUCCAGCCACAUUGAGUGUGCUGUCUUGGAUUAGCAGACAGCAUUAAGAAGACUCCAGAUCAAGCAGUCACAUGACUAAUCACAUGAAAGCCCAGAUAAGAAAUGCCCCCCCCAACCUAGUGUACUCAUAGAACCAUGAGUGAAAGGAAUAAACAUUUAUUUAUUUAUUUAUUUAUUUAUUUA